GACGAACGCUGGCGGCGUGCUUAACACAUGCAAGUCGAGCGGAAAGGCCACUUCGGUGGUACUCGAGCGGCGAACGGGUGAGUAACACGUGAGUAAUCUGCCCCUGGCUUUGGGAUAGCCACCGGAAACGGUGAUUAAUACCGGAUACGACCACUUCUCGCAUGGGAUGGUGGUGGAAAGUUUUUUCGGCCAGGGAUGUGCUCGCGGCCUAUCAGCUUGAUGGUGAGGUAAUGGCUCACCAUGGCUUCGACGGGUCGCCGGCCUGAGAGGGUGACCGGUCACACUGGGACAGAGCCACGGCACAGACUCCUACGGGAGGCAGCAGUGGGGAAUAUUGGACAAUGGGCGGAAGCCUGAUCCAGCAACGCCGCGUGAGGGAUGACGGCCUUCGGGUUGUAAACCUCUUUCAGCAGGGACGAAGCGCAAGUGACGGUACCUGCAGAAGAAGCACCGGCCAACUACGUGCCAGCCGCCGCCGUAA
rnacentral:rRNA from 1 species